UACCCUUGACAUGUACGGAAGUCUGCUGAGAGGUGGAUGUGCCUGAAA
rnacentral:rRNA from 1 species